GGUAGACGAGACCUCAGGUGGUUUGGCGCUUCUUGUGAGAGAAGGGAAGGGCCGAGCUGGCUGGCUGCCGAACAGUUCUAGGAAUAAAUUCUUCUUCUCAAUCGGAGGGCUCUACCAAUGGGCAACGUGGACUCAAUCAACAAGCAGUGUGUCCUAACCAACAGGCGAUGUGACCUGGAGGUUCCACCCUUUUUACUAACUACUCGCCCUGCCUCUUGGUCUCUCAUUGGUUGGAUUGUUUCUUGGUCCACCACUAAUAUCGAGGCUUUAAUUUCAUCUGUCCUAACAUGGACUUUUCCCGACCAUGAUGCCAUAGGCGAGGGGGCUCCUAUUGGGUGCUGUAACUAAACCCACUUAUUUUAGUCAUCUCCAUAUCCAGCUUCUUUAUUCUCCUGUCUGUGGGUCAUCGACCAUCCGCCGAUUCCACUGUUAUUUAUUCUCUAACUUAUGUAGGCGAAGGGCUCCUUUUGGGUGCUGUGACUAAGCUCACUUAUUUUGUACUAGUC
rnacentral:lncRNA from 1 species